UACGUAGGGUGCGAGCGUUGUCCGGAAUCAUUGGGCGUAAAGAGCGUGUAGGCGGCCCGGUAAGUCCGCUGUAAAAGUCAAAGGCUCAACCUUUGAAUGUCAGUGGAUACUGCCGGGCUAGAGUCCGGAAGAGGCGAGUGGAACUCCUGGUGUAGCGGUGGAAUGCGCAGAUAUCAGGAAGAACACCAACGGCGAGGGCAGCUCGCUGGGACGGUACUGACGCUGAGACGCGAAAGCGUGGGGAGCGAACAGG
rnacentral:rRNA from 1 species